AUGGAUGUGGGUUAUACCUUUUUGCGUUUUUUAGAGAGUUAUUUGAUGUCGUUGUUCUCCUCUUUUCAUGUUGGGUGAUGGUUGAGACCUAUCUAUCUGUA
rnacentral:tRNA from 1 species